UACGUAGGGGGCAAGCGUUGUCCGGAAUCAUUGGGCGUAAAGAGCGUGUAGGCGGCCAGAUAAGUCCGCUGUGAAAUCUCGAGGCUCAACUUCGAGCUGUCGGUGGAAACUGUCUGGCUAGAGUCCGGAAGAGGAGAAUGGAAUUCCUGGUGUAGCGGUGAAAAUGCGCAGAUAUCAGGAAGAACACCUAUGGCGAAGGCAGCUCUCUGGGACGGUACUGACGCUGAGACGCGAAAGCGUGGGGAGCGAACAGG
rnacentral:rRNA from 1 species